rnacentral:rRNA from 1 species
GAUGAACGCUGGCGGCGUGCCUAAUACAUGCAAGUCGAACGAACAGACGAGGAGCUUGCUUUUCUCACGUUAGCGGCGGACGGGUGAGUAACACGUGGAUAACCUACCUAUAAGACUGGGAUAACUUCGGGAAACCGGAGCUAAUACCGGAUAAUAUUUUGAACCGCAUGGUUCAAUAGUGAAAGACGGUCUUGCUGUCACUUCUAGAUGGAUCCGCGCUGGAUUGGCUAGUUGGUAAGGUAACGGCUUACCAAGGCAACGAUGCGUAGCCGACCUGGGAGGGUGAUCGGCCCCACUGGAACUGGGACACGGCCCAGACUCCUACGGGAGGCAGCAGUAGGCAAUCUUCCGCAAUGGGCGGAAGCUUGACGGAGCAGCGCCGCGUGAGUGAUGAAGGUCUUCGGAUCGGAAAACUCUGUUAUUAGGGUAGAACACAUGUGUAAGUAACUGUGCACGUCGUGACGGUACCUAAUCAGAAAGCCACGGCUAACUACGUG